AUACAGAGGGUGCAAGCGUUAAUCGGAUUUACUGGGCGUAAAGCGCGCGUAGGUGGCUAAUUAAGUCAAAUGUGAAAUCCCCGAGCUUAACUUGGGAAUUGCAUUCGAUACUGGUUAGCUAGAGUAUGGGAGAGGAUGGUAGAAUUCCAGGUGUAGCGGUGAAAUGCGUAGAGAUCUGGAGGAAUACCGAUGGUGAAGGCAGCCAUCUGGCCUAAUACUGACACUGAGGUGCGAAAGCAUGGGGAGCAAACAGGAUUAGAUACCCUGGUAGUCCAUGCCGUAAACGAUGUCUACUAGCCGUUGGGGCCCUUGAGGCUUUAGUGGCGCAGCUAACGCGAUAAGUAGACCGCCUGGGGAGUACGGUCGCAAGACUAAAACUCAAAUGAAUUGACGGGG
rnacentral:rRNA from 1 species